rnacentral:rRNA from 1 species
UAUCAAUAAGCGGAGGAAAAGAAACUAACAAGGAUUCCCUCAGUAGCGGCGAGCGAAACGGGAAAAGCCCAGAACCGAAUCCCAGUCUAUAGCUGGGAAAUGUGGUGUUUGGUUCAUCCUAUUGGAUGCAUCGGAGUCGUUCUAAGUCCACGUGAUUGUGGCUACUAGCCCAGAGAGGGUGUAAGGCCCGUGAGAACGAUACGGUGUGUCUCUUAGAGUGUUCCUAGAGUCGGGUUGUUUGGGAAUGCAGCCCAAAGAGGGUGGUAAGCUCCAUCCAAGGCUAAAUACAACACGAGUCCGAUAGCGAACAAGUACCAUGAGGGAAAGUUGAAAAGGACUUUGAAGAGAGAGUUCAAUAGUGCGUGAAACCGCUUAGAGGUAAACAGGCAGAGCUGAAGAAGGUGGGCGCAUUUAGCUUUCAUCGGGUACAUGUUGGUAUUUAAGGAGAUUCGUAUGAACUCCCAUGCUGGCGUGUUACUUGUGUGUUGGCUUAUUGUGUGUUACCGGCACCACUAUCAGUGUGUAGUUGGGCCAUGUCAUUUGGGGGAAGUUAAGUGACUUCGGUCAUAAUUUAUAGACCCUGAGUACAGCGCUUGGCGAACACUGAGAAUUUGCGAUCCAAGACAAUGUGUGAAACAAGUUGUUGCUAGUUGUUGGCGCUUGGUAUUAGCUCGAUUAAAAGAGAUGGUGCUGUAGUGUCGGCUUCUGGUGGUGGCCUCUGUUUUGUGCAGUAAUGAAUCCGUGGUGAUUAUGUAAGCAAUCUGCCUGACCCGUCUUGAAACACGGACCAAGGAGUUUAGCAUGUGCGCAAGUCAUGAGGUCGUACGAAACCUAAAGGCGCAGUGAAAGUAAAGGCUAUCAUUUCCGAUGGCUAAGGUAGGAUCUCGUUUCUUAUGUACAUUGCAGUACAAAGAAUGAGCGCACUACCGGCUCGUCCAACUCUUUAUUAAGAAGGGCGACGCAAGAGCGUACAUGCUGAGACCCGAAAGAUGGUGAACUAUGCUUGCGUAGGUUGAAGCCAGAGGAAACUCUGGUGGAGGACCGUAGCGAUUCUGACGUGCAAAUCGAUCGUCAAACGUGAGUAUAGGGGCGAAAGACUAAUCGAACCAUCUAGUAGCUGGUUCCCUCCGAAGUUUCCCUCAGGAUAGCUGGCACUCGAGAAACAAACAGUUUUAUCCGGUAAAGCGAAUGAUUAGAAGUAUUGGGGAAUAACAUUCCUCAACUUAUUAUCAAACUUUAAAUGGGUGAGAAGCUUGACUCGUUUAAUUAGAGUUUGGCAUGGAAUGUGAGUGCUCAGUGGGCCAUUUUU